rnacentral:rRNA from 1 species
CCCUUAGAUGGUCUGGGCGGCACGCGCGCUACAAUGAUGCAUUCAAAAAGUCUUCUGACCUUAGAAGGUUGGGUAUUCUCCAAAGUGCAUCGUGAUGGGAAUAGUUUAUUGCAAUUUUUAAUCUUGAACGAGGAAUUCCUAGUAAGUACAGGUCAUCAACUUGUGUUGAUUACGUCCCUGCCCUUUGUACACACCGCCCGUCGCUACUACCGAUUGAAUGGUUUAGUGAGAUCUUCGGAUUGGCGCCACUGCGGCUCAGCAAUGGGCUCGGUGGAUGCCGAAAAGUUGAUCAAACUUGAUCAUUUAGAGGAAGUAAAAGUCGUAACA